GAAACGGUGGCUAAUACCGCAUAACGUCGCAAGACCAAAGAGGGGGACCUUCGGGCCUCUUGCCAUCAGAUGUGCCCAGAUGGGAUUAGCUUGUUGGUGAGGUAACGGCUCACCAAGGCGACGAUCCCUAGCUGGUCUGAGAGGAUGACCAGCCACACUGGAACUGAGACACGGUCCAGACUCCUACGGGAGGCAGCAGUGGGGAAUAUUGCACAAUGGGCGCAAGCCUGAUGCAGCCAUGCCGCGUGUAUGAAGAAGGCCUUCGGGUUGUAAAGUACUUUCAGCGGGGAGGAAGGUGUUGUGGUUAAUAACCACAGCAAUUGACGUUACCCGCAGAAGAAGCACCGGCUAACUCCGUGCCAGCAGCCGCGGUAAUACGGAGGGUGCAAGCGUUAAUCGGAAUUACUGGGCGUAAAGCGCACGCAGGCGGUCUGUCAAGUCGGAUGUGAAAUCCCCGGGCUCAACCUGGGAACUGCAUUCGAAACUGGCAGGCUUGAGUCUUGUAGAGGGGGGUAGAAUUCCAGGUGUAGCGGUGAAAUGCGUAGAGAUCUGGAGGAAUACCGGUGGCGAAGGCGGCCCCCUGGACAAAGACUGACGCUCAGGUGCGAAAGCGUGGGGAGCAAACAGGAUUAGAUACCCUGGUAGUCCACGCCGUAAACGAUGUCUACUUGGAGGUUGUGCCCUUGAGGCGUGGCUUCCGGAGCUAACGCGUUAAGUAGACCGCCUGGGGAGUACGGCCGCAAGGUUAAAACUCAAAUGAAUUGACGGGGGCCCGCACAAGCGGUGGAGCAUGUGGUUUAAUUCGAUGCAACGCGAAGAACCUUACCUGGUCUUGACAUCCACAGAACUUUCCAGAGAUGGAUUGGUGCCUUCGGGAACUGUGAGACAGGUGCUGCAUGGCUGUCGUCAGCUCGUGUUGUGAAAUGUUGGGUUAAGUCCCGCAACGAGCGCAACCCUUAUCCUUUGUUGCCAGCGGUCCGGCCGGGAACUCAAAGGAGACUGCCAGUGAUAAACUGGAGGAAGGUGGGGAUGACGUCAAGUCAUCAUGGCCCUUACGACCAGGGCUACACACGUGCUACAAUGGCGCAUACAAAGAGAAGCGACCUCGCGAGAGCAAGCGGACCUCAUAAAGUGCGUCGUAGUCCGGAUUGGAGUCUGCAACUCGACUCCAUGAAGUCGGAAUCGCUAGUAAUCGUGGAUCAGAAUGCCACGGUGAAUACGUUCCCGGGCCUUGUACACACCGCCCGUCACACCAUGGGAGUGGGUUGCAAAAGAAGUAGGUAGCUUAACCUUCGGGAGGGCGCUUACCACUUUGUGAUUCAUGACUGGGGUGAAGUCGUAACAAGGUAACCGUAGGGGAACCUGC
rnacentral:rRNA from 1 species